CAGAAUAUAGUUUAUUAAAAUAAUAAUUUUGGAGAUUAUAGAUAGAAGUUUUUUUUAUUCUGA
rnacentral:tRNA from 1 species